AAGCCUUGCUUGCUGUACGGAGAAAGAGGAAGAGAACAGAGUCUGGUAAAAAUACAAACGAAAGGCUUGAGAAAGAUACAAUCACAAAACCGCCAGGCUUAGAACACCAAAACCGCAGGCACACACAGUUUUUUCGCCGCCAUCUGUUCCCUCGCCAGACUCAGAACACCAAAACCGCAGGCACACACAGGAAUUGAGAUUGAGGAAGAGAAAUCUAAGUGCCAUUGUCGAUCAGGCCAUUUACCUGCCAUCAUCAGAUCGCCGAAACUGCCACCGGGUGGUAUACCAUUGUUUAACAAUUUCUCUUUGGAGUAUCUUCGUGAAUUCCGAAGAAGGAAGGUCGUGGAUACUUUGCUAAUGCUUGCUAUACGUAGGGCAGAAUUUGGACAUUGAUGCUGAAAUAUAUCCAAGGGCAGAAUUCGGAUAUUGAUUCAAAAUUGUGAUUCGGUGCUGACACUGUUCCUUUAUCAGUAAAGGUACCAGAAGGGUACUGCAACAACUUAUGCUUGCGUUAUUUGUAAUUAUAUCUAGGUAAUCUACUUCUUUUUGUAAGUCUAAUGAUUUUUAAUUUCUCAUGAUUUUAAUUUUGUCAUAGGAUUCACUGUUACUUAUUCUGCUCCAACGAGACAUGCUAUACUCCAAAAAGAAUUUUCUCUCAUGUGUGCUAUUUAUUGGUCUUUCACUCUGAAUGUUUGCCUAAAUAACACCCACUGCUCUUUCUCUUUUUUCAAUUCAUAAAAACAUCAAACAAAUCAUUAUUUUCAAAAUAGAGAAGAGAGCAUUUUCUAUCAUAUGUUACAUAUUGCUGGACUAAACAUAUGGGUUUUUUAAUGCACCUUUAAGACCAUGGAAAGCAGAGAUCAAAUGUUAUUGUUUUAUAAUCAAUCUUCUGGUCUCUUUUAUGGCUAUUUAAUAAAAUGAUCUGAUAUAUACUUUUUUUUUUUUUGGGUUUAAUUGAGGAUUACAUGGUUUGGUAGAUUGGAGUCUCAUAUAUCCCCCAAAUUUCAGGUACCUUUUUCUUUCUCCUUGGUUGGCUAGAAGUUCAAGAAAAUGUUAAUGUUGAAUUUGGCAUAAUUGAUGUUAUUUUGGGUUAGCAUUAGGCGCUAUCAUUUGCCCAGUCAGUAGGCACAAAACCAUCAAUAUAGAUCAUUAGAUAGCUCAUGAUGCAAUCUUUUCAAAAUAAUUUGUUUUGGUCUUACCAGUCUACCAAUUUGAGAUUCUGAAGUGAUUUGUUUCAAUUGCAUUGGCAUAGUCAUGAUUUGCUUCAAAUGAUUGUAUGAGAAUAAAAGGAAUUAUUUGAUGAAGAAGAAGCAAAUGAAGAAGAAUAAUGCACUUGCAAUAAUGGUUUUGUAAUAUGAAUAUAUAUUAUGAAACAUUCAUAUACAUGUUAAAAAAAAAAAAACCAAAUUUGUUAAACAUUGUGCUCUUUUAAAGUACUCACUACCAUAAAGUGCUAAUUGCGUAAGGUGCUUGUGA